rnacentral:lncRNA from 1 species
AUUUCUUUAUUAUAACUAUGCUAAAAUACAUCAAUAUACUAUAUAAAAGGAGGAUACUAAAACUACAUACUACUUUCUCUGACUCUAACUCACUCACAACUCAUGACCCUCUCUGAGAGCCCAGCCCCAGGUGGGUUGGAUUGGAUUGGAAUGGAUUGCAUUGGAUUGGGUUGGGUUGCAUUGGAUUGGGUUGGGUUGGGUUGGAUUGGCCAUCAGGCUCAAACAAUCCUCACCAGAAUCCAACCAAGCAAUCACCCCAGGGAAACAAUUCUCCAAACACAUUCCACAUGGGAAAAACAAGGAGCAGAAAUAGAAAUUAUUUUCUCUUUCUUUCCUCUGUGCACCUCUAUGAAAAAUCCUGAGAGGGAGAGAGAAAUAUGCUGCCACACCUGAACUCCUGGAGUUGCUUUUCUCUCUUUUUGAGCAGAUAACUCCUCAGGGCACUCAGCCACCAGCAUAUGUGGCUCCCCAUGGCCACAAACCCUCCUGCACAGAGGGGUCUGGAGCAAAGCUGCUCCCAAGGCUGAGCAAGGCCCUGAGGAGCCUCAGAGCUGCUGGAAAUGCAGUUGCUGGCAGAGCUCCAGUGGCACUCACAUAAUGGCUUGGAUGCUUCAGCUCCAAAGCAGGGAAUUCCAGACAGUUGAUUAUGGGCAACAUGAGCAGUGCUGGAGAGGAACCUGCCAGGAGGAUGGAAAAUAACUGAGCAGUGACCAUGAUCCCUUUUCUUUUUCAUGAGUCUCCUUGAAAAGAAUAAGCUGAGAGGUGACAGCACAGCUCCUGCCACCUGCCAGGUCAUGGAACCACAGAAUUUACAGAGAUAUUCUAAGGGAAUAGCCUGAGGGACCCACAGGGAUCAUUGAUCCAGGUCCUGGCCCUGCACAGACCCCCCCAGCAAUCCCACCCUGGGCAUCCCUGGCAGCUCCUGGAGCUCUGGCAGCCUCGGGAAUGUGCCCAUUCCCUGGGCAGUGCCAGCACCUCUGGGGGAAGAACCUUUCCCUGAGAUCCAACCUAACCUUCCCCUGGUACAGCCAUUCCCUCAGGAGUCAGAGAAGGGUCUGUGCUCUGCCCUGGGGAUGACCCACCUUGUCAGGCAGCUCAGCUAUACAGGAAAAGAAAUUAUUAAUCCUUUUGUACCCCUCAGAAAAUGUCUGUCCCCCUAUCCUUCUGCUGAUAACAACAAAUCCUGCACACAUUGUUAAUGGCUUAUUAAAAUUCACUGGGAGCUGCCACUGCAGGCAGCUAAAAUAGAGGCUGUUCAGGAUGCUAAGCCAAAUAAUUUAAGUUAUUCAUGUCUGUGAUAAUGUAAACAAACUGUCAGACAUCCAGAUGCAGGGAGAAAUAUCCAUGGACAGUAACAGAGACAGGGCUCGGCACACAUUCAUUUACUAAUCUGAUUGUGUGAAUAAAUUAAGUGAAAGUGUUACAAAUGUAUUCCCUGGGCCCGUGUUCAGCUGGAUUAAGAUGUGAUAAUUCGGUAUCUUGGGUCAUUGAGUAAACAGAGCCAAACAGCGGCUUGGUGAUCAAUGGAACCCAAGCUGGGUGGACACAGCCCCUUCUUUACAAAUCCAUGGGUCACAGUGUGGGGUGACACCCUGGUGUCUGGUGUGGGGAGCCAGGAGGAGUGUUAGGGAAGUGCAGUAUGGAAAUAGAGUAUGGAAAAAUAAAUGGUUGUGUACAUUUGUCCUUCAGAUGCUCCAAAGGUGGAGCUCCUCUGCUCUGGAGUCAGGCUGGGAGAGCUGGGAAUGUUCCCCUGGAGAGGAGAAGCUCCAGGGAGAGCUCAGAGCCCCUUGCAGGGCCUGAAGGCUCCAGGAGAGCUGGAGAGGGACUGGGGACAAGGAUGGAGGGACAGGACACAGGGAAUGGCUCCCACUGCCAGAGGGCAGGGAUGGAUGGGAGAUUGGGAAGGAAUUGUGCCCUGUGAGGGUGGGCAGGCCCUGGCACAGGAUCGCAAUUCCCCGUUAAUCCCCUUGAUCCCGCAAUUCCCCGAUCCCGCAAUUCCCCGAUCCCGCCUCCCGC